GACGGAGGGGGCAAGCGUUGUCCGGACUUACUGGGCGUAAAGCGCACGUAGGCGGUCUGCUGCGUCGGUGCUGAAAGCGCCAAGCUUAACUUGGCGAGGCGUGCCGAUACGAGCGGACUGGAGGCCAGCAGAGGGUGGCGGAAUUCCGGGUGUAGUGGUGAAAUGCGUAGAGAUCCGGAGGAACGCCUGUGGCGCAAGCGGCCACCUGGGCUGGACCUGACGCUGAGGUGCGAAAGCGUGGGGAGCGAACCGG
rnacentral:rRNA from 1 species